AUGCCACAAGCUCCCAGGGAACUGGCAGUGGGACUCUGGGGUGGCACCCAGAGAGCAAGCGGAUCGGGCACAACCUACUGGGACACACAGGGCACUGGAGGAAGAGGGAGAAGUAAUGCUCAGCCCCUUCCCCAGUGUGUUAUCAGAAGCUGGUGGCUAGCCAGCCAACCUUUCCAGGAGGAGGUGACAUUCUUGCUGUUAAUAACAGGAAACCCAACUAUUGCGAGAAGAGGGAUAUUGGAGAUGAAAUUUUGAUGAUAAAAUUGCAUGGAGAGAAGGGCUGCUGAUGGAUGAAGCUCCAAUUCACCCUUUCACCGCGGCACCCCACCCCCCACCACUCAGUGCUGCCCUGGGACACUGGACACGUGACCUCCGAUAAGAAUCACUCCAUUCAGAGGAGCUGGCAGGUGGAUGUCCUCUUUGCUCAAACAUGCGUGAAGGUCUCCACUCCCUAGAUCUCAUGGCUGUGGAGUUGGGAACUCUGGCUGGCCCUCCUCUGUUCUUUUGGAGAUAGUGCGUUUCUCCCUCCAGGUAAACUUCAAACUAGUGUUCAUUUAAAUAUUAAUUUGCAAUUGCGCCAUCUCUUCUGUGAUAUUACCACAGUCUGUGGCAAUUAGGCUGAGCGGGCCUCCUCGCUCUCUUGAAUCGCACGUCAAGGCAGCGCGGGGACUUGCUGCCGAGUCCGAUCCUUCCUUUCACGCCAUCCGAAACGCUCUGCACGGCGAACCACAUUGAAAUGAGCCCCUUCAUCUUCCGCAUGGAUAAUUAAACUUCAAACACUGUUUAUCUCAGUCCCCAAAUCCUCCGAAUGCAGAAGCAAAUUAAUUUUAAAUCUAUAUCUGCUUUAAAUAGUAAUUGUUUAAUCAACAGGCUUGAUGUAUAAUUAUAUUCUUUGUUCGUUCUCCCGGCAGGCUUGAAUAGACCACAUAAUUCCUGGGUUGCUUUCAUUUCUGUAAUUAGAUCAUGUGACAGACCCUCACUAUAUUACAGUUGACUCUAGUUACUUCUCCCCCCACCCCCUUCGAAGUUCUAAAACGGUUUCUCAUGAAUACUUAGAUUAUAACAGCUCAGCUUAACACCGAGCUGUGAGUGUUUUGCUUUAAUCCUUUAUUCUUCUUUCACCUAAUAAUUUACUCUGGAGCAAGUGAUCUUACUGGUGGCUGCUACACUGGGCUGGCUGUAUCCUUGCAGAAUUAAGAGUUCUUGUCCUUAUUUUGAACCAGUUUCCCUAAAGGAAAACCCUUUCGGACCACCACAUAGAAACACACUCUCUGGACUCUUUGAAGCCACUGUUAU
rnacentral:lncRNA from 1 species